AUUGAACGCUGGCGGCAGGCUUAACACAUGCAAGUCGAACGCAUCCUUCGGGGUGAGUGGCGGACGGGUGAGUAACACGUGGGAACGUACCUUUUUGUUCGGAAUAACUCAGGGAAACUUGAGCUAAUACCGGAUACGCCCUUAGGGGGAAAGAUUUAUCGCAGAAAGAUCGGCCCGCGUCUGAUUAGCUAGUUGGUGAGGUAAAGGCUCACCAAGGCGACGAUCAGUAGCUGGUCUGAGAGGAUGAUCAGCCACACUGGGACUGAGACACGGCCCAGACUACUACGGGAGGCAGCAGUGGGGAAUAUUGGACAAUGGGCGCAAGCCUGAUCCAGCCAUGCCGCGUGAGUGAUGAAGGCCCUAGGGUUGUAAAGCUCUUUCGGCGGGGAUGAUAAUGACGGUACCCGCAGAAGAAGCCCCGGCUAACUUCGUGCCAGCCGCCGCCGUAAUAC
rnacentral:rRNA from 1 species